rnacentral:lncRNA from 1 species
CUACACCGAAGGGUCAUCGAGGGACAAAAUCAUAUAUUCGAAGGCAACAUCCGAGGGACUAUGAUUUAUUUUAAAGGGACAUGAUGAUUUAAUCGAAGGGUCUUUGCUAAGGGUAUCCCCACAUUCGCGGGACAUGACCGUAAUACCGUAAUAUCGUAAGGCAAUAAAGAGAGGUCCAAGAUCACAUAUUUAGAGGCCGUAUUUUACAAUCGAUUAGGUAAUUAG